rnacentral:rRNA from 1 species
AUGGAAUCAUCAUACUGUAAAGAUUGUAACAUUAGCACAGUGAUAGUAUUCGAUCGCGCAACUGGAGACACCAUAUGCUCAGAAUGCGGCCUUGUAUUGGAUAGUCAUUACAUUGAUGAGAAAGAUGAUUGGCGUACAUUCACCCCUUUAGCAUCAAAAGAUGAUAAUUAUGACCCUAUUUCUACAGUGAAAUCCCCAAAUAAUCUGAAAUCAAGGCAUAAUUCUACACCUGCUAUGAGAUUUGAUAAAAACAUAUUUGAUCACCACAAAUCUUUUCGCGGCAAUAUACAGAAGUCUGUUGAUUUUUCUUCCCAUCAAGCCGACAAUGCAAUUCACUAUAUAGGUGAUAUGGCUGACAGGUUGGGCAUUGUGGAUAACAUAAAGCUUCAAGCAACAAGUUUAUACAUGAAAGCAAAUGAUCUUAAGAUAUUUAAUAUAAGGAAGAAACAUUCUCUUUGUGCUGCUUGCUUGUACGUAGCAUGCAGGCAAGCUAAUAAGGCUCGAACUAUAAAAGAGAUUUGCAUCGUCACUAAUGGAGUUACAAAAAAAGAAGUUUCUCGAGCAAAAGAUUUACUAGUACACCAUAUUGAAGAGAAGAAAGGCGAAUGCAUGGAAAUCAGUAGUGUUCGUCCUAGGGAUCUCGUGCGACGUUUUUGUUCAACACUUGGAAUGUCAAACAAAGCUAUUCAAGCAGCAGAAGAAGCAGCAAAUCGAGUGCAGAGACUUGAUAUAAGAAGGAAUGCUAUAUCAAUAGCUGGAACAAUAAUAUAUUUAGUAUCUGAAUCUUCCAAGGAACCAUGUGACAAGGUUGCUAUUAAAGAUAUAUGCGCUGUGGCUGGAUUAACAGAAAUUACCAUUAGAUAUUGUCACAAGGAACUUUGUAAUUAUGCUCCAUGGCUCGUAGAAACAUACGCAACACAACAUGCAAAGGAAAAAUAA